GAAUGAAGAGCUUAAUAGGGAAGUCCGGUGCGAAUCCGGCGCGGUCCCGCCACUGUAUUAGCGAAGUAUCCGUUCAACAUACCACUGGCUCACAAGCAAGCUGGGAAGGGGAACGGAUAUGUGGAUGCUAUAGCCAGGAGACCUGCCUGUUCAUGU
rnacentral:ncRNA from 1 species